GGGGCUGUAGCUCAGUGGUAUAGUGCUUGCCUCACAUGCAUGAGGCACUAGGUUCAAGCCUCAGCACCA
rnacentral:tRNA from 1 species